UAAGCGACUCUCGGCAACGGAUAUCUCGGCUCUCGCAUCGAUGAAGAACGUAGCGAAAUGCGAUACUUGGUGUGAAUUGCAGAAUCCCGUGAACCAUCGAGUCUUUGAACGCAAGUUGCGCCCGAAGCCGUCAGGCCGAGGGCACGUCUGCCUGGGCGUCACAC
rnacentral:rRNA from 2 species